AUUUAAAUAAUUUAAUUUAAAAUAUUGAUUUGUGGAAUCAAAUAUAUGAAUAAAGUUUCAUUUUAAAUU
rnacentral:tRNA from 1 species